rnacentral:miRNA from 1 species
AGCCAACCACCUCUCUCCUCAG